AGGUUAACCGAAUAGGGGAGCCGAAGGGAAACCGAGUCUUAACCGGGCGUUAAGUUGCAGGGUAUAGACCCGAAACCCGGUGAUCUAGCCAUGGGCAGGUUGAAGGUUGGGUAACACUAACUGGAGGACCGAACCGACUAAUGUUGAAAAAUUAGCGGAUGACUUGUGGCUGGGGGUGAAAGGCCAAUCAAACCGGGAGAUAGCUGGUUCUCCCCGAAAGCUAUUUAGGUAGCGCCUCGUGAAUUCAUCUCCGGGGGUAGAGCACUGUUUCGGCAAGGGGGUCAUCCCGACUUACCAACCCGAUGCAAACUGCGAAUACCGGAGAAUGUUAUCACGGGAGACACACGGCGGGUGCUAACGUCCGUCGUGAAGAGGGAAACAACCCAGACCGCCAGCUAAGGUCCCAAAGUCAUGGUUAAGUGGGAAACGAUGUGGGAAGGCCCAGACAGCCAGGAUGUUGGCUUAGAAGCAGCCAUCAUUUAAAGAAAGCGUAAUAGCUCACUGGUCGAGUCGGCCUGCGCGGAAGAUGUAACGGGGCUAAACCAUGCACCGAAGCUGCGGCAGCGACACUGUGUGUUGUUGGGUAGGGGAGCGUUCUGUAAGCCUGUGAAGGUGUACUGUGAGGUAUGCUGGAGGUAUCAGAAGUGCGAAUGCUGACAUAAGUAACGAUAAAGCGGGUGAAAAGCCCGCUCGCCGGAAGACCAAGGGUUCCUGUCCAACGUUAAUCGGGGCAGGGUGAGUCGACCCCUAAGGCGAGGCCGAAAGGCGUAGUCGAUGGGAAACAGGUUAAUAUUCCUGUACUUGGUGUUACUGCGAAGGGGGGACGGAGAAGGCUAUGUUGGCCGGGCGACGGUUGUCCCGGUUUAAGCGUGUAGGCUGGUUUUCCAGGCAAAUCCGGAAAAUCAAGGCUGAGGCGUGAUGACGAGGCACUACGGUGCUGAAGCAACAAAUGCCCUGCUUCCAGGAAAAGCCUCUAAGCAUCAGGUAACAUCAAAUCGUACCCCAAACCGACACAGGUGGUCAGGUAGAGAAUACCAAGGCGCUUGAGAGAACUCGGGUGAAGGAACUAGGCAAAAUGGUGCCGUAACUUCGGGAGAAGGCACGCUGAUAUGUAGGUGAAGUCCCUCGCGGAUGGAGCUGAAAUCAGUCGAAGAUACCAGCUGGCUGCAACUGUUUAUUAAAAACACAGCACUGUGCAAACACGAAAGUGGACGUAUACGGUGUGACGCCUGCCCGGUGCCGGAAGGUUAAUUGAUGGGGUCAGCGCAAGCGAAGCUCUUGAUCGAAGCCCCGGUAAACGGCGGCCGUAACUAUAACGGUCCUAAGGUAGCGAAAUUCCUUGUCGGGUAAGUUCCGACCUGCACGAAUGGCGUAAUGAUGGCCAGGCUGUCUCCACCCGAGACUCAGUGAAAUUGAACUCCGCUGUGAAGAUGCAGUGUACCCGCGGCAAGACGGAAAGACCCCGUGAACCUUUACUAUAGCUUGACACUGAACAUUGAGCCUUGAUGUGUAGGAUAGGUGGGAGGCUUUGAAGUGUGGACGCCAGUCUGCAUGGAGCCGACCUUGAAAUACCACCCUUUAAUGUUUGAUGUUCUAACGUGGACCCGUGAUCCGGGUUGCGGACAGUGUCUGGUGGGUAGUUUGACUGGGGCGGUCUCCUCCUAAAGAGUAACGGAGGAGCACGAAGGUUGGCUAAUCCUGGUCGGACAUCAGGAGGUUAGUGCAAUGGCAUAAGCCAGCUUGACUGCGAGCGUGACGGCGCGAGCAGGUGCGAAAGCAGGUCAUAGUGAUCCGGUGGUUCUGAAUGGAAGGGCCAUCGCUCAACGGAUAAAAGGUACUCCGGGGAUAACAGGCUGAUACCGCCCAAGAGUUCAUAUCGACGGCGGUGUUUGGCACCUCGAUGUCGGCUCAUCACAUCCUGGGGCUGAAGUAGGUCCCAAGGGUAUGGCUGUUCGCCAUUUAAAGUGGUACGCGAGCUGGGUUUAGAACGUCGUGAGACAGUUCGGUCCCUAUCUGCCGUGGGCGCUGGAGAACUGAGGGGGGCUGCUCCUAGUACGAGAGGACCGGAGUGGACGCAUCACUGGUGUUCGGGUUGUCAUGCCAAUGGCACUGCCCGGUAGCUAAAUGCGGAAGAGAUAAGUGCUGAAAGCAUCUAAGCACGAAACUUGCCCCGAGAUGAGUUCU
rnacentral:rRNA from 1 species